AUGCUUUCCAGUGGAUGGAAAUACAGAAAGGAGAGCAGUUAAAACUCUCAGAAUAGCCCGCACGACUGAGAAUAAUUCUGUCCAAAGGUCAAAGUUCAAGAUAUUCUAAUUUCAGGCGCUGCACACUUCCAGCUUUUACCAUUUUAACAGAAUGAUUUUAACUAACUGGGUUUCAAAUUCAAAAUGAAAUGCUCCGUGACAGUGAGUAGGUACGAGUCUAUCAUUCCUACUGAAGCCGGUAAAUGUAACCCUCUGGAGCCAUGAUGAGACUGCUUAGAAGAUAUCAGAGGAUUUCGAACAGUAUAUAGCGUACUGUGUCACAUACAAUACGAGAAAGGAAAAAUACACAAUUCGGAAAUCAUUCCAAAGAUCUCUCCUUUUCCAUUGGAAGUCAGAAAGCAAAGGGUUGCAGAGAUGAACAUAAGCAACUGAGACAAAGAGAGAGAAAACUGAGCAACAUCCCUCCUUUAUCCUUCUCGCUGCAAAACUGCCUUCGAAGUUUCAAACACUGUCUGCUGAUUGUGACCAUCCAGGGACACCCCUGUUUUCUUCAAAAAAUUCAGCCAAGCUUUACUGUCUCCAGAAGAACAACCAAAGCAGUCACCUGCAUCUUUAAAUUGAGCACAUCGGUAUUACCAUAGACAAGUCCUUAGACCAUCAAAUUCAUGAUGAAGCCAGCCAAAUCACUAAACUACUGACAGCAUAUUCCUUUUAGUUUUUAUGAACUCCAGUUUGAGCAACAUAUCCUUCAACUCUGUAAUCUGCAUUGUGUUUUUCUAAGCUUUAUGAGUAUGUUUGCAUGCGU